AACAAUCAUUAGUUAUACAUAAAAAUAAAACUUUCAUAUUGUUUUUUUUUCACAUAAAAACAUUGUUUGUUGUAUAUAUUUUACAAAUGGUGAUCUAUUUCAAUAUUGAAAAAGCCUAAAUUGAAACUGAUUUCAUUAAUUUAGAGGUUCACUCAUAUGAUAACUACCUCUAAUAGGCUCUGUGAUACUGCUACACUAGAUUAGGUUUGAAAACAUAUCUAAAUAUUCAGAUGUAUAAGUCAUGCUAAUUCUUUGAUGUGAUGUGAUUUCAUACACUUGUGUAAUUCAGGCAAUCUUAUAUAACAAAACAGGUCAGUGAUGUAUUUGUGAGUUUAUAUCAUUAAAACGUAUUGUAGUAAUUGGAAAUUUGACAUUAGUAUAGUGGCCAAUAAUGUUGUUAAAAUUACAAAAUAAUUUCGUCAGAAAGAACUUUUACAGUAAAACCUGUAUAAACCAGUUGGCUAUGGGACUAUGAAAAAGGGCGAGUUUGGACAGUGGGUUGGUUUAUUCAGGUUUCCGUUUUGACAGGAAGUUAUUGACUUGUGAUGUCAGAUAUUUUGCAUGUAAAAGUUCUGUCUCGUUGUUAAUUGGAAACUAAUAAAUACAAAUACCGUAAUAAUCUAUUUAUUAAAAUGUAGAAAGUCUUGUAACAACAACACUGGAGAGACUGCUGCAGAAAAUUUAUUGAAUGAUCAACAUGUUUCGGUGCCUAGGGCACCGUCAUCAGGAUACAAAUAUUACAGAAAGGUUAGCUAAGAACAGUUAUGGGAUAGACAUGUAUUUGUACACUCUAUUUACAACAUUUUCAGCAAAUAAUAACCAGGCAUAAUUAACAAAGACUAUUGAUUUGAACAAUUUUAUUUUACUUUCAUUUUCAUAUUGACAAUCUAUCUAUAUAUUUUCUCUAUCUAUAUACUUACUUCACUUUCACUUUCAUUUUCAAGACUGUAGCCUUACUAUGAUGUUGUAUUUAUACAACCCGAUUUUGUACCUUAGCUAACCUUUCUGUAAUAUUUGUAUCCUGAUGACGGUGCCCUAGGCACUGAAACAUGUUGAUCAUUCAAUAAAUUUUCUGCAGCAGUCUCUCCAGUGUUGUUGUUACAAGACUUUCUACAUUUUAUGUGUUUUAUCGUAACGACCCUGCAUACACGAGGUAUCCACUUCAGUGACUCUAACUUACUACAGAUUUACCAUGCGUUGGUUCACUCUUGUGUUUAAUUUCUAUUAAUUAAAAGUCAUGUCAUGAUUUGUGCGAAAAUAUUGUGACAUGAGCAUUACAAGUGUUCCAUGCCUUUUCGCCAUUAAACUAUGCACGAUCAUUGUUUUGAGUCUUUGUAUUCAUUGGCUUUAGAAAUUUCAGAAAUUGGUUGUCCCCCGAAUUAAAAAAAUACUAUCUGAACUUUUUUGUACAUAUCCUCGUAUGUCAAAUCGCCCUCGGUAGCAUCAGUCUCCGACUCGUCAGUUUCAGUUUCACUUUGAGAUCAUUGUUUUCAUGUGCAACAGAAUACUCACGAUGUUUGAAUUGUUCAACGAGAGUUUUGUUAUACUUCCAUCGUUCAUUUUCUAUGUUGGUAUAGCCUAUAAAAAAGCAAGAAUUUUAUCAAAGGAAAUGUCAUCAUGAUCGUAACUUUGUCGUACAAUGUAUGAUACCCAUAAACUCGACAAUAGAAUGUCGUCAUCCAGGUCUUCUUCAUUAUCAGGAUCAUUGGUUUUGGGGUUCAAAACAGGAAACCAAACAUUUCGAAAACACAUGUAAAUUUUUUACUCCGUGAUUUGAAAAAUUUAUCAAAGUUAAAACGUAAGCUCUAUCCGAUAUAUAUUUGGCGUUUCUUUUAGUUUAAUUAAAACUUAAUAGUGUUUCUAUAAUAAAGCUCACUAAUGUAAAGUUCACAGUUUAACUCCUUGCUAAUUGAUUAUCCUUGAAAACCAUCAUGUAUAAACAAUUAUGUUUUGAUUGCAUAUCGAUCAAUACUGUUAUCAUGUUAAAUUAAUUAAACAAACCGGUUUUGACAAUGUAAUAAUAAGUGUAAUUAAGAGUAUUUGGACUGCAUAAUUAGACUGGAAUUCAGUAUACACAGGGUCCGGUUUACAAGGGAUAUUUUUACAAAGACUGAAGGGGAAAAAAUGGGACUUCAAUUUUCAGUCGGAAUGGACAGGAAACCAGUUUAUUCAGGGUUCGGUUAACCUAGGUUUGACUCUAUUACCUUAUCAGUUUUUGUUCUGUCUGUUUAAUAGAACACAUCUUUUUUUUUAUGUGUAGAUUUUUGAUGAAUGACAUUCAAGAUUAAUUGUGAUGAUGAUGAGUGCUUAUGACCAGUUGUUGCCAUGUCAAUGAAAACCUAUUUUUUUCUAUGCCAUCAUUUGUUUUUUGUAUAAAAAGUGUAUCCAAUAACUAUUGGUUAUAUGUAAUAAAAGAGAUACAAACUUGAA